rnacentral:rRNA from 1 species
UACGUAGGUGGCGAGCGUUGUCCGGAAUUACUGGGUGUAAAGCGCGCGUAGGCGGGAGGCCAAGUCCGCUGUGAAAUCGCCCGGCUCAACUGGGCGCGGUCGGUGGAAACUGGUCACCUGGAGGACGGUAGAGGCGAGUGGAGUUCCCGGUGUAGUGGUGAAAUGCGUAGAGAUCGGGAGGAACACCAGUGGCGAAGGCGGCUCGCUGGGCCGGCCCUGACGCUGAGGCGCGAAGGCGUGGGGAGCGAACGGG